GAUGAACGCUGGCGGCGUGCCUAAUACAUGCAAGUCGAGCGAACAGACGAGGAGCUUGCUCCUCUGACGUUAGCGGCGGACGGGUGAGUAACACGUGGAUAACCUACCUAUAAGACUGGGAUAACUUCGGGAAACCGGAGCUAAUACCGGAUAAUAUAUUGAACCGCAUGGUUCAAUAGUGAAAGACGGUUUUGCUGUCACUUAUAGAUGGAUCCGCGCCGCAUUAGCUAGUUGGUAAGGUAACGGCUUACCAAGGCAACGAUGCGUAGCCGACCGGAGAGGGUGAUCGGCCACACUGGAACUGAGACACGGUCAAGACUCCUACGGGAGGCAGCAGUAGGGAAUCUUCCGCAAUGGGCGAAAGCCUGACGGAGCAACGCCGCGUGAGUGAUGAAGGUCUUCGGAUCGUAAAACUCUGUUAUUAGGGAAGAACAAAUGUGUAAGUAACUAUGCACGUCUUGACGGUACCUAAUCAGAAAGCCACGGCUAACUACGUG
rnacentral:rRNA from 1 species